GGCUUUGUUGCUCUGUUGGUAGAGCACUUACUGAGUCUGGGUAGGAUGUUUCUAUCAAUGGUUCGAAUACAUUCAAAGUCC